rnacentral:rRNA from 1 species
UGGGGAAUUUUGGACAAUGGGCGAAAGCCUGAUCCAGCAAUGCCGCGUGUGUGAAGAAGGCCUUCGGGUUGUAAAGCACUUUUGUCCGGAAAGAAAUCCUUGGCUCUAAUACAGUCGGGGGAUGACGGUACCGGAAGAAUAAGCACCGGCUAACUACGUGCCAGCAGCCGCGGUAAUACGUAGGGUGCAAGCGUUAAUCGGAAUUACUGGGCGUAAAGCGUGCGCAGGCGGUUUGCUAAGACCGAUGUGAAAUCCCCGGGCUCAACCUGGGAACUGCAUUGGUGACUGGCAGGCUAGAGUAUGGCAGAGGGGGGUAGAAUUCCACGUGUAGCAGUGAAAUGCGUAGAGAUGUGGAGGAAUACCGAUGGCGAAGGCAGCCCCCUGGGCCAAUACUGACGCUCAUGCACGAAAGCGUGGGGAGCAAACAGGAUUAGAUACCCUGGUAGUCCACGCCCUAAACGAUGUCAACUAGUUGUUGGGGAUUCAUUUCCUUAGUAACGUAGCUAACGCGUGAAGUUGACCGCCUGGGGAGUACGGUCGCAAGAUUAAACUUAAAUGAAUUGACGGGGUCAUAGCUG